rnacentral:rRNA from 1 species
GUAAUCGAAAGGGAAUGAGGUUAAUAUUCCUGAACGAGGACAGUGUAUGCAUAAUUUGGCGACAGUUGUGGUUGUUGGGAGACGUUGGCGGGCAUCCCGGGAAGAGUUGUCUUUUCUUUUUGACUGUGAGUGGUGUCGGCCUGGAAUCGAUUUGUUCGGCGAUAGGGCGGUGUUCGCAGGCAGAGCGCUGUCAGGGUAGAUGGCGUCCGGUGCAUGUUUGUCUCUCCUUGAAAAUCCCAAGGAUCGUAAAUGGUAUAAUCACUCCUCUCCGUACUGUAAACCGCAACAGGUCUCCAAGGUGAGAAGCCUCUAGUUGAUAGAAGAAUGUAGAUAAGGG